AGUGCAGCUCAGAGCCCUUCCGGUUUACAGCCGCGGAAAAACAACUCGGACCAGAUCCGGGAGGGGAAUGGGGGCUGGGUGGCCAAAAUUCAGUCCAGAGGAUCGAAGCGGCUGCUUUAACAGAAGUUGGGGCUGCGUAACAACAGCUCCAAGCAAAGCUUCAGGCUGAUCGGAAAGAUGAGGAAGCAGAAAAGAGACUAAAGACAGACGGACAGGAUGGCUGGGGACAACGACAGGGACCCAGUGAAAAUACGGGCAAUACCGAGGGCUGUAACCCUAACACGGGCAAAUUUGGAGGGGCUAACAUGGGCGGAAACCAUCCGUACCAGUCACCACCACUGUCUCCAGCUGUCCCAGAACCGGACUCUUCCUGCCAUCAAAAUGGCGGCGGCGACGGCAGCGGUGGUAGCACCUACGCUGGCGGUGAGCAGGCAAAGGAAGUUGCUUCCGAGCGCGUCGAAACGAUGAUGCGCACGCGCAAAGUAGGCCUACGUGGAGCCGACCUGCCAUUGGGUAAACGCAAGGGAGGAGAAAAGGGAACCUGAUGGAAUAAACUGCUGUGAGAGGGAGUAUUGAAAGUAAGUGAAAAAAAGAAGGGAUGGUGGAAAAUUCUUCAUGGAUUCAUUGUUAUUGGGGAGGGGCACUUUGUAUUUAUGCAGAUAGCCCCACAUGUUGUAGGACAUUUAACAUCUCUGGUUGGGAAUGCCAGAAGAGCCCACCAGUCACUGUGAUA
rnacentral:lncRNA from 1 species